GCACCUGCUAUGGCAAUACUUCGUACCAUCAAGUCUAGUUGCAGCCAUAAACAUGGUUACAAUCGCCCAGACCAAAUGGAAACCUGAUUUUAGUGUUCUAUAUAAAAAUACUCCUCUUUUAAUUAUAAUUUUCUGCUAAUAUUAUAAUAUAUAUUUUUGGUCGACGUUAAUAUCUUGCCAGUUCCAUAUUCUUAUUUAAUAAUUAACACUAUAAAACCUGGGUAUCCCCAUUUGAUGAGUAAAAAUGAAAA